rnacentral:rRNA from 1 species
GAUGAACGCUGGCGGCGUGCUUAACACAUGCAAGUCGAACGAAGCACUUAAGAUUGAUUCUUCGGAUGACGUCUUUUGUGACUUAGUGGCGGACGGGUGAGUAACGCGUGGGUAACCUGCCUCACACAGGGGGAUAACAGUUAGAAAUGACUGCUAAUACCGCAUAACCCGAUAGGAUCGCAUGAUCCAGACGGAAAAGAUUUAUCGGUGUGAGAUGGACCCGCGUCUGAUUAGCUAGUUGGUGAGGUAACGGCCCACCAAGGCGACGAUCAGUAGCCGGCCUGAGAGGGUGAACGGCCACAUUGGGACUGAGACACGGCCCAAACUCCUACGGGAGGCAGCAGUGGGGAAUAUUGCACAAUGGGGGAAACCCUGAUGCAGCGACGCCGCGUGAGUGAAGAAGUAUUUCGGUAUGUAAAGCUCUAUCAGCAGGGAAGAGAAUGACGGUACCUGACUAAGAAGCCCCGGCUAACUACGUG